UCAGGAUGAACGCUAGCUACAGGCUAACACAUGCAAGUCGAGGGGCAGCAUUGGGAUAGCUGCUAUUCAGAUGGCGACCGGCGCACGGGUGAGUAACGCGUAUCCAACCUCCUGCCAGUAGGGAACAGCCCGGCGAAAGUCGGAUUAAUGCCCUAUGUUCUUCAAUGCGGACAUCUAAGUUGAAGGAAAGAUUCAUCGCUGGCAGAUGGGGAUGCGUCCGAUUAGCUUGCCGGCGGGGUAACGGCCCACCGGGGCGACGAUCGGUAGGGGUUCUGAGAGGAAGGUCCCCCACACUGGUACUGAGACACGGACCAGACUCCUACGGGAGGCAGCAGUGAGGAAUAUUGGUCAAUGGGCGUAAGCCUGAACCAGCCAAGUAGCGUGCAAGGAUGACGGCCCUACGGGUUGUAAACUGCUUUUAUGCGGGGAUAAAGUGCGGCACGUGUGCCGCUUUGCAGGUACCGCAUGAAUAAGGACCGGCUAAUUCCGUGCCAGCAGCCGC
rnacentral:rRNA from 1 species